AUUUCUAAUAUGGCAGAUUAGUGCAAUGGAUUUAAGCUCCAUAUAUAAAGUAUUUAACUUUUAUUAGAAUAA
rnacentral:tRNA from 1 species